UUUACAGUAUUUAUAUUCCGCCCUUCUUUCUCACCCCGAAGGGGACUCAGGGCGGAUCACAUUACACAUAUAAGGCAAACAUUCAAUGCCUUUUAACAUAGAACAAAGACAGAGACAAACACAGGCUCCGAGCUGGCCUCGAACUCAUGAUCUCUUGGUCAGAGUGAUUUGUUGCAGCUGGCUGCAGCUGGCUGCUCCCCAGCCUGCGCCACAGCCCGGGCCUUUAUUUGUUUACUUUAUUUAUAUUCCAUUUUAUUUUCCUGGAGGGCAGACAUUCAAUUCCUUUUACACAGUGAACAACGACAUACAAUACACAAACAAAGGUAAAGGCUUCCCUGGACUUCAUGUCAUGGGAAAACCUUUACCUUUACCUAUAUCACUAUGUAACAUGAUUUUUGCUGCUGGGUUAUAAAUGCCAUUUCCAAAUUGGUAUCACAAAAACAUGGGGAAAGUUUAUUAAACUGCCAAAACAGGAGGGACGGACACCCUGCAGCACAUUUUGCUAUAGUUUUCAAUGACUAUCUCAUUGAAUCUCAACCAAUUCAACAUAUGUGCUGUCGAAGGCUCUCAUGGCCAGAAUCACUGGGUUGCUGUGAGUUUUCUGGGCUGUAUGGCCAUCUCUGCAGGAGUCUAGCGUAUACCAUGCAGCUAUGGACAAGUCUACAUAGGAAUCCCCAAACGCAGCAUAUUAUUUGAGAACAUAGAAAUGCUGGACCACUCUCACAACCACCAUGUCAGGCUACACAGGAAAUCCAUUGAAACCCACGAGCAUGUGGACAAUUUCAACAAAAAGGAGGAAACCAUAAAAACGAACGAAAUCUGACUCCCAGUAUUUUAAAAACUUUAAAAAUUAGGACAGUAAAUAAAGAGCAACACUCUGAAAAUAGGGGAAUCCCAGACAGGAAACAAUCACGGGCAGCUAACACCUCCCAACAAAGGAUUCCCCCAGGCAGGGAGCAGCCAGGCUUUGAAGCUGCAAGGCUAUUCAAUGCUAGUCAAGGUGGCCAAUGGCAGCAUUCACACUGAAACAGACAAGAGUUCUUUCUCCCACCCUGGACAUUAUUCUACAGAUAUACAGUUUCCAAGUUUCCAAUGGACCUCACGACCUCUGAGGAUGCCUGGCAUAGAUGUGGGCAAAACGUCAGGAGAGAAUGCUUCUGGAACAUGGCCAAACUCACAGCAACCCAAUGUAGACUACGGUAGUUUGUGGCACUUUCAAAUUUCCAUGAAACACAGAGACAAAUCCAUUUCGCAAAAGAAGAAACCUGCGAUAGAAAGACAUGAUAAGGACAGAAAUAUUUCUUUCUCUCUCAUCCAAGACCUUCAACAAUAGGGUUUUUUUUAAGUAUAUUGUUCCACUUUCAAUAAAGUUCUUCUUUUCUACUUUGCAAGAUGUCUCUUUGAUAUUACGAGGGUUGAAUGAAAAGUAAUGCCUCCACCUUCGUAACUCUUCAACAGACUGGCUUGUUCAGACGUGCAGUCACUGAAUUCUUUUUUUUUUUUUUUGGUGAAUUUUUUUAUUUUAUUUUACAGCAAAGCAUAAUACAUUCAAAGUGGUGGAACAAUAUAUCGAUAGAAAAGUGGGAAAAUACCAAGAGGAGGAAUAAUCAUAAAAAUAGAGACAAAAAAAAACAGAGAAGAGGGGAAAAAAUCACUUAGACUUCCCAUCUUGGCUUCGGAGUUGUCUCUUUCGUUAAUUGUGUCUUUGUGUAUUCCUGAUAACUUUUUCCCGUUUGGUCCGCUCUAUAUAUUAGACAGGUCUAUCAUGAAAUCCAUUCUUCUUUUUGUUAGGAAUUUUGUGAAGUUUGUCCAGUCUGUUUUAUUUUUCCCUUCUCUUAUUUUUUGUGUUAAUUUGUCCAUUUGUACUAUACCCAGUAUUCUUAUUUGUGGAGAAGUAAUUAUUAAUUAUAUAUAUUAUAUAACCGCUGCCACCAGAUGUAAAGGGGACUAUCAACGCUUGCCACUACUAUGGGAAGAUGCAGCCACUAGCUACUCAGAGAGGAGACAUUUUAAAUUUUGUUUUUCUUCCUU
rnacentral:lncRNA from 11 species